ACACUCCUACGGGAGGCAGCAGUGGGGAAUAUUGCACAAUGGGCGCAAGCCUGAUGCAGCCAUGCCGCGUGUAUGAAGAAGGCCUUCGGGUUGUAAAGUACUUUCAGCGGGGAGGAAGGCGAUAAGGUUAAUAACCUUGUUGAUUGACGUUACCCGCAGAAGAAGCACCGGCUAACUCCGUGCCAGCAGCCGCGGUAAUACGGAGGGUGCAAGCGUUAAUCGGAAUUACUGGGCGUAAAGCGCACGCAGGCGGUCUGUCAAGUCGGAUGUGAAAUCCCCGGGCUCAACCUGGGAACUGCAUUCGAAACUGGCAGGCUAGAGUCUUGUAGAGGGGGGUAGAAUUCCAGGUGUAGCGGUGAAAUGCGUAGAGAUCUGGAGGAAUACCGGUGGCGAAGGCGGCCCCCUGGACAAAGACUGACGCUCAGGUGCGAAAGCGUGGGGAGCAAACAGGAUUAGAUACCCCAGUAGUCCC
rnacentral:rRNA from 1 species